rnacentral:rRNA from 1 species
CCUACGGGUGGCUGCAGUGGGGAAUAUUGGACAAUGGGGGCAACCCUGAUCCAGCCAUGCCGCGUGUGUGAAGAAGGCCCUCGGGUUGUAAAGCACUUUCAGUGAGGAAGAACGCCUGGGGGUAAAUCCCAUCCGGAAAGACCAUCAUCAACGGAGAAAGAACGGCUAACUCCGUGCCAGCAGCCGCGGUAAUACGGAGGUUGCGAGCGUUAAUCGGAAUUACUGGGCGUAAAGCGCGCGUAGGUGGCUUGAUAAGGCCGGUUGUGAAAGCCCCGGGCUCAACCUGGGAACGGCAUCCGGAACUGUCAAGCUAGAGUGCAGGAGAGGAAGGUAGAAUUCCCGGUGUAGCGGUGAAAUGCGUAGAGAUCGGGAGGAAUACCAGUGGCGAAGGCGGCCUUCUGGACUGACACUGACACUGAGGUGCGAAAGCGUGGGUAGCAAACAGGAUUAGAUACCCGUGUAGUC